AGCAAAACCAUUCGCUCAUAGCAGGAAAAAACUCAACCAAGAGAGAGGAAAGUCCCUUCACGACCUCAAGUCCUAGAGAAAAUAUCCUAGCUGAAAACUCUCCAACUUCCUCCUAUCCUCCAAAUGAGGCCUGAUUUAGCCUACUCACCUUCCUCAUCUCCUCCAACACCACCAUCUCCUCUACCCAUCAGUGUCGGACCAGGCAAUCUCAAGUAUCCAUUCUCUCCUUCACCAUCGCCAUCGCCAUUCUCAACACCUGAUCAGUCAUCACCGGAGACCUCGCCUCUCUUGCACAGGCAAUCAGCGGAGCAGCACAACGGACCUUCCACUUUCUCCGUGGACAAACUUGUGGAAGAAUCUCCUCAAAGAAGAUGGUGGCAUCUUAGAAAUUUUUUGGGAUGGCUGAUGCUAAAGUGUUGCUGCUGCUGCUCCUCCUCAUUUUUAUAGGCAGUAAGAUUGUCGAUUCCAGAAAUGAAGCAAAUGAAAUCUACAAAAGUUUUGACCACAAGCUAACCAGCAACUACUUGGAAAGACAGAAAUCUAUUGUUUCAGAAAUAAAACAAACGGGAAGUUCAUGUUUGAGCUUGUUAUUUUGGAUGCUAAUGCCACCAGAAUUUUUUUAUCCCCCCAAGUUAAGAUGAAUUUUGUUACAUUACAGAAAUUAACAUAACAAACUCUGUUUCUAAGUUAAACUAAAAUGUCAUUUAUACCCGAGUUA